GACAGAGGGUGCAAACGUUGUUCGGAAUUACUGGGCAUAAAGAGCACGUAGGUGGUGCGCUAAGUUACGUGUGAAAUCCCCCGGCUCAACCGGGGAAUUGCGCGUGAUACCGGCGCACUUGAGGCGGGUAGGGGUGAGCGGAACUCCAGGUGGAGCGGUGAAAUGCGUAGAUAUCUGGAGGAACACCGGUGGCGAAAGCGGCUCACUGGACCCGAUCUGACACUGAGGUGCGAAAGCUAGGGUAGCAAACGGG
rnacentral:rRNA from 1 species